CAAAAACCCAAUUACUUUUAGUUUCCCUCUAACACAAAAACACACACAGACAGACGCUCAAAACACACACAGACGGACGCUCUCUCUCGACUCUCUCUCUAGCUCUUCACACUCUUUCUCGAACUAAACUCUAUCACGAAGAACAAAUCGAAGAAUUGGUAUUUGAAUACGCAUUUUUGUGGCUUCAAUUAAAAGGCUGUUAUUGUUUAUUUUAUGAUUUUGCAGGUGAUUAGAGCUUUAAAUUGUUGCUUCAACUCAUUUUCUUCGAUUAAUUGGUGGUGAUUAGGGUUCCAAAUUUGGGGCUUCUAGUGUAGAGCUGUCAUUAAGGUAAAUUGGAGUUUGCGUGGAGCUUGUUCGAUUGCAUCUUGUUCAGUACAGUUACUGGUGUUUCUCCACAAGCUACUAACCUGAUUGUAAAAUAGGGUACAACGAUAUUAAGUCACUACAGGAGAGCUCUGGUGCAUCCAUUCGGGUUCUUUCAAAUGUUGCCAGAUUGAGGAGUUUAUUUAUUGGAUCAGACAUUACAAGAACGCUAGGAUGAAUUUUGGUUUCUGCAAUUUUCUUAUAACGGAAAAUAUUUGGCUUCGUCCUCCAAAGAUCAAAUUGCUCUUCUAUGGGAGGCAUUUCACACUUGAACCUAUAUAAUUUACUGCACAAAAUGGACAGCCCUAAACUACUCUGCAAGCUAAAGAGGGGGAUUUCUCCAAGGACAGUAAAAGACUUGAAGGUAAAUAGUGGUGGCAGAAUUUUAGAGAACAUUUAAUGGCUGUACUUCUCAAGGUAGAGGAGAUCAAGAAUGGAAGACUUGCAGCAAUGUUUGUGAUGCUCGGAUUAUUUAUGCCUUGUUAUGUGUUGGCAUUUAGUAGUAGGGAUGUAUAUUUUGGAUGUUGAUAUUGGAAUGUAAGGAAAUCUCUGUAUUCAAACCGUACCUUUCAAUUUGAUAAUUUAAAAAUUAUUGAUGUAGCUAUAAAAUGUGUUGUGGGUUUAUAUU